rnacentral:rRNA from 1 species
GACGAACGCUGGCGGCGUGCUUAACACAUGCAAGUCGAACGGGAUCCGGGCCAUCGGGUUUGGUGAGAGUGUCGAACGGGUGAGUAACACGUUAGUAACCCGCCCCCUCCUUUGGGAUAACGUCGGGAAAUGGGCGCUAAUACUGGAUGUUCUUGCUGCAUCGCUUGGGGUUGUUUGGAAAGGGAUUCUGGAGGGGGAUCGGCUCACGGGCUAUCAGCUUGUUGGUGGGGUGAUGGUGUACCAAGGCUGUGUCGGGUAGCCGGCGAGGGAGGGUGACCGGCGACACUGGACCUGGGACACAGCCCAGAGGGCGACGGCAGGCAGGAGUGGGGAAUAAUGCACGAUGGGCGGAAGCCUGAAGCAGCGAUGCCGCGUGAGGGAUGACGGCUUGCGGGUUGUAGACCUCUUUCAGUAUGGUGCAAGGAGCCUUCUUUUGGAGGGAUUGAGGGUACGUGCAAAAGAAGCGCCGGCUAACUACGUG